ACAUGUUACAGCACAAACAGGAAGAGAGGGCCUUGAAGAGAUAUGAGGGUGAUAUCAUUAAGAAACAACACCAUCUGCGAAGAACAAUGGAGGAUGUUAAUAACAGUGUGUACAAAAAGAUGAGAGCCGAAGAAGCUCGUCUUAGUGAAAACAACCAUGAAAUGGAGAAAGUCAAACAACAACAUUUCAUUCAAGAAGACAAG